ensembl:snoRNA
AAGCCAAUUAAUCUGCUUAUCUGAAUGUGUUUCUUGAGAAAUUUAGAAAAAGCUGGCAAUGGUGAUGAUAUUUUAUGAUCCUUAAGGGCAACUGAGGUCAUUAAGGUCUGUGAAAAUUGCUAUAAUC